rnacentral:rRNA from 1 species
GAUGAACGCUGGCGGCGUGCUUAAUACAUGCAAGUCGAGCGAACGGACGAGAAGCUUGCUUUUCUGAUGUUAGCGGCGGACGGGUGAGUAACACGUGGAUAACCUACCUAUAAGACUGGGAUAACUUCGGGAAACCGGAGCUAAUACCGGAUAAUAUUUUGAACCGCAUGGUUCAAAAGUGAAAGACGGUCUUGCUGUCACUUAUAGAUGGAUCCGCGCUGCAUUAGCUAGUUGGUAAGGUAACGGCUUACCAAGGCAACGAUGCAUAGCCGACCUGAGAGGGUGAUCGGCCACACUGGAACUGAGACACGGCCCAGACUCCUACGGGAGGCAGCAGUAGGGAAUCUUCCGCAAUGGGCGAAAGCCUGACGGAGCAACGCCGCGUGAGUGAUGAAGGUCUUCGGAUCGUAAAACUCUGUUAUUAGGGAAGAACAUAUGUGUAAGUAACUGGGCACAUCUUGACGGUACCUAAUCAGAAAGCCACGGCUAACUACGUG